rnacentral:rRNA from 1 species
AUACGUAGGUGGCGAGCGUUGUCCGGAAUUACUGGGCGUAAAGGAUGCGUAGGUGGAUACUUAAGUGGGAUGUGAAAUCCCCGGGCUCAACCCGGGAACUGCAUUCCAAACUGGGUAUCUAGAGUGCAGGAGAGGAAAGCGGAAUUCCUAGUGUAGCGGUGAAAUGCGUAGAUAUUAGGAGGAACACCAGUGGCGAAGGCGGUUUUCUGGACUGUAACUGACACUGAGGCAUGAAAGCGUGGGUAGCAAACAGGAUUAGAUACCCUGGUAGUCCACGCCGUAAACGAUGGGUACUAGGUGUAGGAGGUAUCGACCCCUUCUGUGCCGUCGUUAACACAAUAAGUACCCCGCCUGGGGAGUACGGUCGCAAGACUAAAACUCAAAUGAAUUGACGGGG